ensembl:lncRNA
ACAGUAGUACUACACCUUCACCAUGUAGACAGCAGUACUACACCUUCACCAUCUAAUACAGUAGACAGUAGUAUUACACCUUCAACAUCAGUAGACAAUGGUACUACAGUUUCACCAUCUAAUACAGUAGACAGCAGUAUUACACAUUCACCAUCUAAUACAGUAGACAGCAGUAUUACACAUUCACCAUGUAACACAGUAGACAGUAGUACUACACCUUCACCAUGUAACACAGUAGACAGCAGUACUACACAUUCACCAUCUAAUACAGUAGACAGUAGUAUUACACAUUCACCAUCAGUAGACAAUAGUACUAGAGUUUCUCCAUCUAAUACAGUAGACAGCAGUAUUACACAUUCACCAUCUAAUACAGUAGACAGCAGUACUACACAUUCACCAUCAGUAGACAAUAGUACUAGAGUUUCUCCAUCUAAUAUAGUAGACAGCAGUAUUACACAUUCACCAUCUAAUACAGUAGACAGCAGUAUUACACAUUCACCAUCUAACACAGCAGGCAGGACUGCUAAACCUUCAGAAUCUAAAACAGUAGACAGCAAUACUCCACCUUCACCAGAAGAAGGUAGCACAAUAACAGCAGUCACAACGUCCACUGCUCUUGGUGAGUGUAUGAUGAUAUCCAGGUAUUCUAUCCUGCAGAAAGAAACAAUGUGUACUGAACAAAAAAAUAAGCACAUUAUGUAAAGCAUUGGACUCAUGUUUCAUGAGCUGAAAUAAAAGAUCCCAGAAAAUGUCCAUAUGCACAAAAAGCGUAUUUCUCUCAAAUGUUGUGCACAAAUGUAUUUACAUCCCUUUAAGUGAGAAUUUCUCCUUGGCCAAAAUGAUCCAUUCACUUGACAUAUGAUUAAACAGCACAGUCAUUACACAGGUGCACCUUGUGUUGGGGACAAUAAAAGGCCACUCUAAAAUGUGAAGUCUUGUCACACAACACCAUGCCACAGAUGUCUCAAGUUUUGAGGCAGCGUGCAAUUGGCAUGCUGACUGCAGGAAUGUCCACCAGAACUAUUGCUGGAGAACUGAGUGUUAAUUUCUCUACCAUAAGCCACCUCCGUCAUUUUAGAGAACUUGGCAGUACGUCCAACCGGCCUCACAACCGCAGACCAUGUGUAACCAUGCCAGCCCAGGACCUCCACAUCCGGCUUCUUCACCUGCGGGAUCGUCUAAGACCAGCUACCAGCUGAUGAAACUUUGGGUUUGCAUAACCGAAGAAUUUCUGCACCAACUGUCAGAAACCUUCUCAGGGAAGCUUGUCUGCCUGCUCAUUGUCCUCAUGAGACAAACGGUGGUCACACAACAUACUGACUGGUUUUCUGAUCCACGCCCAAACUUCUUUUUGAAGGUCUCUCAUGUUGCGUUUAUAUUUUUGUUCAGUGUAGUUUACCAUUUCAUCCAGGAUAAGCACCUGUUUCGACAAAGAAUGGCACAUCAGUAAAUAGUGCUCACUUAUUAAUAUCCCUUAACACUUUUCUUUUUAAAACAGACAACAGAGUCAAACACAGGAGGAAGCAAUACUACACGUUCACCGCUAGAGGACAGCACAGUCGCAAAAGUCACAGCCUCCACCACUCUGGGUGAGUAUCUGAACUGUCAAUCCCACCUCUAAUCACACCUAUCCCCUAGUUGUAUGGACCAAGAAUGAAUGCAGCAAAUUACAAAUUGUUUAUCAUAUACAUGGAUUAUUUCAGAACUUCAGAACCCUGCUGUGUCUAACCCGGUACAUACCAUUACCAGUCCAGCAGUCAAGUAAUUUUGAUCACGCAACUGACACAACACCACCAGUCAUAACCCUGUUCUACAAUUUGCACACCACAACCAUUGUCUCCAAGGACACAACUGAGAUGGGCCAUAAGAACAUCAUAACCUCUUACAAAGGCAGGCUUACAGUCCCCACUGCCAAGUUGCUCAAUAAGGAAAUUAUUGAUUUUGUAUAGGCCAUACUUUACAGUAUGGGUAGGAUCAUCAUCUUAAUCAUAUGAAAUUGUGAUUUUUUUCUCACAGAUACCAAAACUCUGAUCGCCCAUUUGAGGGUCUCUAUUGUUUCAGCUGGGGAGAGAAGUGAGGAAGAGAUCAUUGAGGCGUUGCACAAUGUAAGGGAAGCUUACAAUCAUCCACUCUGACAAGGCUUCAUUAUUCAAUAAAACGUUAGAAAUCCCUACAUAACCAGCAUGAACCGUAAAUAGGCUAUAUUAAAUCAACCUGCUGAGACACCAGGAAGGAGAGGCUUUAUUUGCUCUUCCUCUCCUCCUAGCUUGCAGCCCAGGUCCGAGCCUUUCUACAGAGGGAGUACUGUAAAGACUGCACACUCAGGAUCAGAAACAUCAGAUGGACGUAAGACCAACAUUUGAUCCAAACCAUUAACCCAAACAAUCUUAUGAGGUCCAUGGCACUAUCCCUCAUCAUAUAACCCAUAUAAUACACUAGGGUUCCAGGAGGGUUCUUUAGCUGUCCCCAUAGGUUCCAGGUAUAACCCUUUUUGGUUCCAGGUAGUACUCCUUUGGGUUCCAUGUAGAACCCUCUGUGAAAAGUGUUCUACAUGGAACCCAAAAGAGCUCUACCUGUAAUCAAAUAGGUUCUACCUGGAACCAAAAAUCGUUCUUCAAAUGGUUCUCCUAUGGGGACAGCCGAAUAACACUUUUAGGUUCUAGAUAGCACCCUUUUUCUAAGAGUGUAGCCUGGGCCCCACAGAUAUACCUACCUCUGAAUAUCCACAAUGCCAGGUCACACUUUUCAGCCAUUUUAAUUUUGGUUCCGGCUAUAUCUUUUUCAGACUAAUGAAAUAUAUGGCCUAUUAAUUUUAAAUAUUUGUAUUUUACCUUAUUUAACCAGGUUGGCCAGACAUAUGCGAUUGUAAGCGUAUGAUGCUGUUUGGGCAUUUGUCACAAGGAGGCAGUAGAACCUUUUCUUCUUUCCAACAGAAACACAGAAAAAUAAGCUUUCCUCUUUUGUUUCAACACUGUUUCAUGGCUACCAAACAAAGUUAUUUAGUGCAAAUUGUGCAACAAUUAAACAAUUUGUGUAGUUUUUAACGAAUUCAUAUUUGUAUACGCAGAAAGAAAGAACAUCAGCCAGAGCAGCGUGAUAUUGUCCUUCCGCAGCACAUCAUUUUCUCGGAGGCGUAGCCCACAUUUUUUAAGCUUUUACACGUGUUCCAAACUUCAGAUAGGACAACAGGCGCUGAUGUGAGAAAGCAUGAGCAGUAGGAGCACAGCGCAAAAAUCUAAUUAUGAGAGAAGAGGAAGGAGAUUCCACCGCCCCAGGGACCGCGUUGUCUUUUAUAGCUACACCCGCUCUAUCCAAUUAGGGCAGUGCAGGCUCGAUCUGACCCAGGGUGCUGCUCCCUCUGACCCGGGAAAUUCGGUUGUCCUCAAGGCCUACUCUCACCGCCUUUGACCAAGCUGUUAAAAGGUAUCGACAGUCAUGGCUUAGGUAUACCCAGCUAUUCUCAGCCACAAUAGCCUUGGUUACCCCACUGAAGACACCGAACUAGGCUACAAACACUCUGCUGAUUAAUUGUAAAACACAUAGCUUACAUUUGCGUCUUCAUAAACUGGAAUUUGUUUACUUUCUCUGUGUACCAAUGCAUGCCAAAUAUCUGACCAUGCUUAAUGGGGAGAAAAUAAUACGAGUGGAAGUGGAAUCUGCACGAGCGCAUUUAGGGAUUGUGGACCUUUCCAGUCCGUUACUUUGACGCGCUGGCUCGAUGCGCGGCCACUAUCACAAGCGGGCAGAGCGCGCGCGUUUGAUUUGCCUCAAACGCCACGGUGAUAUGAGCCUCGUCUCGUGGCACGGAUUCGGGAGGGGUGUUAAAUGUAGAACAGAACAAUACGUUGUUCGUCGUCGUAGUCGUCCCUCUCAAUCCAGGUUGUUUAUUUCAAAGCAUCGCUGUAGUAGUGCGUGGUGCAAAUGUUAAGCGUAUGUUCUUAUUGCGCACAUCUCCACAAUCCUGCUAGAUGUAAUUUAUGUUAGUUCUCUUGACUGAUACAUUCUAAGGGUUCGCCUUUCGCCAUCUCGGUUUGUAAACUCAGCUCAUAUAGGGUCAUACAGUAUUAGCUUGCUGCUCCCAAGGGACAACUUCCCAAGGCAAUGGCAUAGGAAUGCCACUCAGAUCAUGGCUCUGAGUAGGAGCAUAUAACUUUGGGCUUGAUUAUGGUUACUUGUAUUUUUUU